CUGAACGCCGGGGGAGCUCGGUCCGAAAGGGCGGGCCAGCGAUGGCCGCCGGCGAGGUGCUGCAUGGUUGUCGUCAGCUCGUGCCGUGAGGUGUCGGGUUAAGUCCCAUAACGAGCGCAACCCCUACCGCCAGUUGCCAACGGGUAAAGCCGGGGACUCAGGCGGGACUGCCGGCGUAAGCCGAGAGGAAGGCGGGGGUGACGUCAAAUCAGCACGGCCCUUACGUCCAGGGCUACACACGUGUUACAAUGGCCGGUACAGAGGGAGGCGACCCCGCGAGGGGGGAGCGGAUCCCGAAAGCCGGUCGUAGUUCGGAUCGGGGUCUGGAACCCGACCCCGUGAAGCCGGAUUCGCUAGUAAUCGCGCAUCAGCCAUGGCCGCGGUCGAAUACGUUCCGGGCCUU
rnacentral:rRNA from 1 species